CUGCUGUGAAAUCCCGGGGCUCAACCCCGGGCCUGCAGUGGGUACGGGCAAGCUAGAGUGCGGUAGGGGAGAUUGGAAUUCCUGGUGUAGCGGUGGAAUGCGCAGAUAUCAGGAGGAACACCGAUGGCGAAGGCAGAUCUCUGGGCCGCUACUGACGCUGAGGAGCGAAAGCAUGGGGAGCGAACAGGAUUAGAUACCCUGGUAGUCCAUGCCGUAAACGUUGGGAACUAGAUGUAGGGCCUGUUCCACGGGUUCUGUGUCGUAGCUAACGCAUUAAGUUCCCCGCCUGGGGAGUACGGCCGCAAGGCUAAAACUCAAAGGAAUUGACGGGGGCCCGCACAAGCGGCGGAGCAUGCGGAUUAAUUCGAUGCAACGCGAAGAACCUUACCAAGGCUUGACAUAGCCGAGAACGCUGUAGAGAUACAGAACUCUUUGGACACUCGGUUACAGGUGGUGCAUGGUUGUCGUCAGCUCGUGUCGUGAGAUGUUCGGUUAAGUCCGGCAACGAGCGCAACCCUCGUCCUAUGUUGCCAGCACGUUAUGGUGGGAACUCAUGGGAUACUGCCGUGGUCAACACGGAGGAAGGUGGGGAUGACGUCAAAUCAUCAUGCCCCUUAUGUCUUGGGCUUCACGCAUGCUACAAUGGCCGAUACAAAGGGCUGCGAUACCGCGAGGUGGAGCGAAUCCCAAAAAGUCGGUCUCAGUUCGGAUUGGGGUCUGCAACUCGACCCCAUGAAGUCGGAGUCGCUAGUAAUCGCAGAUCAGCAACGCUGCGGUGAAUACGUUCCCGGGCCUUGUACACACCGCCCGUCAAGUCAUGAAAGUCGGUAACACCCGAAGCCGGUGGCCU
rnacentral:rRNA from 1 species